CUCCCGUUGACCAUUUGACUUUCGAAUUAAACAAAAAUCGUAUACUUAAACGUAAGUAAUACACAUUAACUUGGUCGUUGUAAAAUUGUGUUUUUCUCCCUUUCUCUACUUAGUUCAAAUCAAUUUAUUAUAGCGUAUUCCACGAGCGAAAAAAAAAACCAAUUGUUUUAAACGAAAAGGCCAAAUUUUGUUCGCAUGGGACACAAGAAUACAUUCUGAAAUUUUUGGGCGGGAAUAAUGAUAAUUUGCGGCCGAGAAUUUGAAGGCCACCGAAUAAUUAUUCGUAAUGCACUACGAACGAACAGACCGACGGACGG
rnacentral:lncRNA from 1 species